rnacentral:SRP_RNA from 1 species
GCCAGGCAUUGUGGCGGAUGCCUGUAGUCCUAGCUACUCAGGAGGCUGAGACGGAAGAAUCACUUAAGCCCAGGAGUUGGAGGUUACUGUGAGCUGUGAUGCCACAGCACUCUACCUUGGGUGAUAAAGUGAGACUCUGUCUCUG